rnacentral:rRNA from 1 species
GACGAACGCUGGCGGCGUGCUUAACACAUGCAAGUCGAGCGGUAAGGCCCUUUCGGGGGUACACGAGCGGCGAACGGGUGAGUAACACGUGGGUGACCUGCCCUCAGCCCUGGGAUAAGCCUGGGAAACCGGGUCUAAUACUGGAUAUGACUCCAUGACGCAUGUUGUGGGGUGGAAAGCCUUGUGCGGCUGAGGAUGGGCCCGCGGCCUAUCAGCUUGUUGGUGGGGUGAUGGCCUACCAAGGCGACGACGGGUAGCCGGCCUGAGAGGGCGACCGGCCACACUGGGACUGAGACACGGCCCAGACUCCUACGGGAGGCAGCAGUGGGGAAUCUUGCGCAAUGGGCGAAAGCCUGACGCAGCGACGCCGCGUGAGGGAUGACGGCCUGUGU